rnacentral:rRNA from 1 species
CGCCAAAAAAGUACAAGCCAAGCUUCAAACUUAAAAGACCUGGCGGUGCUCUAAAUAAACCUAGAGGGGCCUGUCUAAUAAUCGAUACUCCACGAAAAACCCAACCUCUUCUGGCCAAUUCAGCCUGUAUACCGCCGUCGAAAGCUCAUUUUUCAAGAAAUAUAAGCUAAAAAGUAUAAUUUAACUAACACGUCGGGUCAGGGUGUA